rnacentral:rRNA from 1 species
GACGAACGCUGGCGGCGUGCUUAACACAUGCAAGUCGAACGGAAAGGCCCUGCUUUUGUGGGGUGCUCGAGUGGCGAACGGGUGAGUAACACGUGAGUAACCUGCCCUUGACUUUGGGAUAACUUCAGGAAACUGGGGCUAAUACCGGAUAGGAGCUCCUGCUGCAUGGUGGGGGUUGGAAAGUUUCGGCGGUUGGGGAUGGACUCGCGGCUUAUCAGCUUGUUGGUGGGGUAGUGGCUUACCAAGGCUUUGACGGGUAGCCGGCCUGAGAGGGUGACCGGCCACGUUGGGACUGAGAUACGGCCCAGACUCCUACGGGCGGCAGCAGUGGGGAAUAUUGCACAAUGGGCGGAAGCCUGAUGCAGCAACGCCGCGUGCGGGAUGACGGCCUUCGGGUUGUAAACCGCAUUCGCCUGUGACGAAGCGUGAGUGACGGUAAUGGGUAAAGAAGCACCGGCGAACUACGUG